rnacentral:rRNA from 1 species
GAUGAACGCUAGCGACAGGCCCCUCCUAUGCAAGUCGAGGGGCAGCGGGGGUAGCAAUACCCGCCGGCAACCGGCGCACGGGUGAGUAACGCGUAUGCUUUUUACCUAUCAAAGGGGGAUAACCCGGCAAAAGUCGGACUAAUACCGCAUGAACCAGGGGCCCCGCAUGGGGAUAUUUGCUAAAAAUUCAUCGCUGAUAGAUAGGCAUGCGUUCCAUUAGGCAGUUGGCGGGGUAACGGCCCACCAAACCAACAAUGGAUAGGGGUUCUGAGAGGAAGGUCCCCCACUUUGGUACUGAAACACGGACCAAACUCCUACGGGAGGCAGCAGUGAGGAAUAUUGGUCAAUGGGCGCGAGCCUGAACCAGCCAAGUCGCGUGAGGAAUGAAGGUUCUAUGGAUCGUAAACCUCUUUUAUAAGGAAAUAAAGUUCGGGACGUGUCCCGUUUUGUAUGUACCUUAUGAAUAAGGAUCGGCUAACUCCGUG